rnacentral:rRNA from 1 species
GAUGAACGCUAGCGGCAGGCUUAAUACAUGCAAGUCGAGGGGCAGCGGGUGUAGCAAUACAUGCCGGCGACCGGCGCACGGGUGCGUAACGCGUAUGUAACCUACCUUUAACUGGAGGAUAGCCCCGAGAAAUCGGGAUUAAUACUCCAUAAAAUUAUGAGAAGGCAUCUUUUUAUAAUUAAAGCUCCGGCGGUUUUAGAUGGGCAUGCGUGACAUUAGCUAGUUGGUGAGGUAACGGCUCACCAAGGCUCCGAUGUCUAGGGGUUCUGAGAGGAUUUAACCCCCACACUGGUACUGAGACACGGACCAGACUCCUACGGGAGGCAGCAGUAAGGAAUAUUGGGCAAUGGACGCAAGUCUGACCCAGCCAUGCCGCGUGAAGGAUGACAGCCCUAUGGGUUGUAAACUUCUUUGUACGGGAAAAAACCUUCGAACGUGUUCGAAGCUGAUGGUACCGUAAGAUAAGCAUCGGCUAACUCCGUGCCAGCAGCCGCGGUAAU